rnacentral:rRNA from 1 species
AUACAAAUACCUCAAAUUUAUAUUUAUAUAAUAUAAAAAAAAGUAGAAUGUGUUGUUAUUAGAAUAAACUGAGAUUAACAAUUGUAAGUAAAAUUUAAAAAUUGUUAUUAUUAAUUUAAUUUUUCUAUAUUUAAAACUUUGAAAGUGAGAUUAAAUUAAAACUAGGAUUAGAUACCCUAUUAUUCUUUAUUUUAAAAAUUUUUAUAUAUUUAAGUAGUGUGGAUGAAUAUUUAAUAUUUAAAAUUAUAUUUGAAACUUAAAAAGCUUGGCGGUGUUAUAUAUCCAUUUAGGGGAGCUUGUUUAUUAAUUUGAUAAUCCUCAAUAAACUCUUACUUUUUCUUGAAUGUUAACAGUUUGUAUAUUGCUGUCAUCAGUUUAUUUCGUAAGAAUUAGGAUUAAAAAACUUAAAAGCUUAUAUGCUUGA